GACGAACGCUGGCGGCGUGCUUAACACAUGCAAGUCGAACGGUGACAGAGAGCUUGCUCUCUUGAUCAGUGGCGAACGGGUGAGUAACACGUGAGCAACCUACCCUUGACUCUGGGAUAACAGUUGGAAACAGCUGCUAAUACCGGAUAUGACCUCGGCAGACAUCUGCCGGGGUGGAAAGCUCCGACGGUCAAGGAUGGGCUCGCGGCCUAUCAGCUUGUUGGUGAGGUAACGGCUCACCAAGGCGACGACGGGUAGCCGGCCUGAGAGGGCGACCGGCCACACUGGGACUGAGAUACGGCCCAGACUCCUACGGGAGGCAGCAGUGGGGAAUAUUGCACAAUGGGCGAAAGCCUGAUGCAGCAACGCCGCGUGCGGGAUGACGGCC
rnacentral:rRNA from 1 species